rnacentral:rRNA from 1 species
GCUGGAAUCGCUAGUAAUCGCGGAUCAGAAUGCCGCGGUGAAUACGUUCCCGGGUCUUGUACACACCGCCCGUCACACCAUGGGAGCCGGAAAUGCCCGAAGUCAGUGACCCAACCGCAAGGAGGGAGCUGCCGAAGGUGGAGCUGGUAACUGGGGUGAAGUCGUAACAAGGUAGC